rnacentral:rRNA from 1 species
UAGAAUUGACGGGACCGCACAAGCGGUGGAUGAUGUGGUUAAUUCGAUGCAACGCGAAAACCUUACCCACCUUUGACAUGUACGGAAUCCUUUAGAGAUAGAGGAGUGCUCGAAAGAGAGCCGUAACACAGGUGCUGCAUGGCUGUCGUCAGCUCGUGUCGUGAGAUGUUGGGUUAAGUCCCGCAACGAGCGCAACCCUUGUCAUUAGUUGCUACAUUCAGUUGGGCACUCUAAUGAGACUGCCGGUGACAAACCGGAGGAAGGUGGGGAUGACGUCAAGUCCUCAUGGCCCUUAUAGGUGGGGCUACACACGUCAUACAAUGGAUGGUACAAAGGGUCGCCAACCCGCGAGGGGGAGCCAAUCCCAUAAAGCCAUUCGUAGUCCGGAUCGCAGUCUGCAACUCGACUGCGUGAAGUCGGAAUCGCUAGUAAUCGUGGAUCAGAAUGUCACGGUGAAUACGUUCCCGGGUCUU